rnacentral:rRNA from 1 species
CUUUCCCUCUUUCUUCAUGCUUUACACAUGCAAGUCGAACGGCAGCGCGGGCUUCGGCCUGGCGGCGAGUGGCGAACGGGUGAGUAAUACAUCGGAACGUGCCCAGUAGUGGGGGAUAGCUCGGCGAAAGCCGGAUUAAUACCGCAUACGACCUGAGGGUGAAAGCGGGGGAUCUUCGGACCUCGCGCUAUUGGAUCGGCCGAUGGCAGAUUAGCUAGUUGGUGGGGUAAAGGCCUACCAAGGCGACGAUCUGUAGCUGGUCUGAGAGGACGACCAGCCACACUGGAACUGAGACACGGCCCAGACUCCUACGGGAGGCAGCAGUGGGGAAUUUUGGACAAUGGGCGAAAGCCUGAUCCAGCAAUGCCGCGUGUGUGAUGAAGGCCUUCGGGUUGUAAAGCACUUUUGGCGGGAACGAAAAGGACUGUGCCAAUACCACGGUUCGAUGACGGUACCCGCAGAAUAAGCACCGGCUAACUACGUG